CGGGGUAUGGGCCAGCGGCUAGGCCGCCUGAUUUGGGAUCAGGACAUCUUCGUGGGUUCGAGUCCCACUACCCCGA
rnacentral:tRNA from 1 species